rnacentral:snRNA from 1 species
GGAUGUGAGGGCCAUCUGGCUGUGACAUCUGUUACCCCACUGGUCACCAGGGUGGAUUCGGCUGAUCUGGUGGGCUAGCCGGGUGUCCCUUUCCUCCCUUACGGUGCCAUGUGCAUCCCUCCCGAAGCUGUGCCCUCGGUCAGAGAGGACGACCAUCCCCACUAGAGGAGGACCGUUCAAGGUCAAGGGUAUAUGCAUCUCUGCGCUCCCCGGCUGGAACCCCCAAGGUCUCAAGGUCCAGAGGCAGCAGCCGACUUCAGCACAGCCUGCUGGCUGGCAUU